rnacentral:piRNA from 1 species
UCCGCAGUCCUUUCUAAGACCUGGUGCUUUU